rnacentral:rRNA from 1 species
AUGGACAAGUAUCUUCUCAGAAGAAAAUCCCCAUCACAAGAUGCUCCAGAAUACAUGAACUGGGAAGAAGAAAGUCCGUAUGAUCAAGGUGAUAGGAAAUUGAUAGAACAUUACCAUCCUAAUUUGAAAGAUGUGACAAUAAGAAAGUACUCGGUUAAUAAACCUUAUCAUCCAAGAGAAAUUGAUUUUCCAUAUUCGGAGUUUGGGACUACAAGGAGAAGGCUCAAUCUUGGUUGGUUUGAUGAAGUUGGGAGUUGGGACCGUGGCCACAAGAAAGAAACUAGGUAUGAGGCUUUCGCUCUUAGAACAUGA